GCAGCGCUCGUUUUCACCUCAAGCGAUAGCCUCACGGCUCUCGAUCGGCAAUGUUGGAGAUAACGUGGGCCUGGCUUGCGGCUGUAUUUGUCUGCGUCGUGAGUGGCAUCGUCUCGUGGGUGAUCGGACAACGUCGGAAAUGCUUCAAGGACUUUGAAGGAACGGGAAUACCGGUGGUGCCGCUCCGAAGCCUUAUCAACGGCAACGCAGAUGAAUACUGGAAACCGACCAUAAUCGAGAGCGUCGGAAGAUGGCUGAAAGAAUACGGGGAUGUGUUUGGGU